rnacentral:rRNA from 1 species
AUUGAACGCUGGCGGCAUGCCUUACACAUGCAAGUCGAACGGCAGCACGGGUCUCGGGCAACUGAGCCCUGGUGGCGAGUGGCGAACGGGUGAGUAAUGCAUCGGAACGUGCCCAGUAGUGGGGGAUAACUAGUCGAAAGAUUAGCUAAUACCGCAUACGACCUACGGGUGAAAGCGGGGGAUUUUCGGGCAACCGAGAACCUCGCGCUAUCGGAGCGGCCGAUGUCUGAUAGCUAGUUGGCGGGGGUAAAAGCCCACCAAGGCUUCGAUCAGUAGCUGGUCUGAGAGGACGACCAGCCACA